UCCUCCCUCUGGCGGCGUGCUUAACACAUGCAAGUCGAACGGAAAGGCCCUGCUUUUGUGGGGUGCUCGAGUGGCGAACGGGUGAGUAACACGUGAGUAUCCUGCCCUUGACUUUGGGAUAACUUCAGGAAACUGGGGCUAAUACCGGAUAGGAGCUCCUGCUGCAUGGUGGGGGUUGGAAAGUUUCGGCGGUUGGGGAUGGACUCGCGGCUUAUCAGCUUGUUGGUGGGGUAGUGGCUUACCAAGGCUUUGAUGGGUAGACGGCCUGAGAGGGUGACCGGCCACAUGGGGACUGAGAUACGCCCCAGACUCCUACGGUAGACAGCAGGGGGGAAUAUUGCACAAUGGGCGGAAGCGUGAUGCAGCAACGCCGCGUGCGGGAAGACGGCCUUCGGGUUGUAAACCGCAUUCGCCUGAGACGAAGCGUGAGUGACGGUAAUGGGUAAAGAAGCACCGGCUAACUACGUG
rnacentral:rRNA from 1 species